rnacentral:rRNA from 1 species
AUGCAAGUCGAAGCGGAAAGGCUCCUUCGGGGGUACUCGAAGCGGCGAACGGGGUGAGUAACACGUGAGUAAUCUGCCCUUGGCUUUGGGAUAACUACCGGAAACGGUGGCUAAUACCGGAUACGACCACUCCUUGCAGGAGGUGGUGGUGGAAAGUUUUUCGGCCAGGGAUGUGCUCGCGGCCUAUCAGCUUGUUGUGGGGUAAUGGCCUACCAAGGCUUCGACGGGUAGCCGGCCUGAGAGGGUGACCGGCCACACUGGGACUGAGACACGGCCCAGACUCCUACGGGAGGCAGCAGUGGGGAAUAUUGGACAAUGGGCGGAAGCCUGAUCCAGCAACGCCGCGUGAGGGAUGACGGCCUUCGGGUUGUAAACCUCUUUCAGUACCGACGAAGCGCCGAUGAUGGUGGUGACGGUAGGUACAGAAGAAGCACCGGCCAACUACGUG